rnacentral:tRNA from 1 species
CAGAAGAUAGUUUAAUAAGAAUGCCAGCUUUGGGAGUUGGUGGUAGAGGUUUGAGUCCUCUUUUUCUGAAGUUGC